CACCUAUCACAUGCCAGAACUCAGGCGAACUCAAUGAAACUGAGCAAAAGAGAGUGAAACACUUUUCUCCUGGUCUGUUUUGAAUCUUGGUAUUCAUAAUUUAAAGGAACCCAGCACAGCCUCUUUUGUGUCAGAAGACGGCUUCAUUUGAAAAUGAAGCAAAUAACGGUUUUGGGUCUCACACACACUUCACAUACACACCAAACAAAAGAAUUGAUUUCCUUAACUGAGAAGGUUCAUCCUCUACCUUUCCUUUGCAGAAGAGCGAGGAACAUAUUGGCUCUGGAAUAAGGUCCUCCAGCGUCAAGACCAUCUUGGUGGACCUGGAACUGUCUUCCCUACAUGAGAAGAGCGAGGAACAUAUUGGCUCUGGAAUAAGGUCCUCCAGCGUCAAGACCAUCUUGGGGGACCUGGAACUGUCUCCCCUAGAUGAGAAGAGCGAGGAACAUAUUGGCUCUGGAAUAAGGUCCUCCAGCGUCAAGACCAUCUUGGGGACCUGGAACUGUCUCC